AAAAAAAAAAAACUUAUGAAGCAACAAAACCCCCUCCUUCCAUUAUGUAUUUCACUUCACACAUUAUCCAAACUAAAAUUUUUUUCCUAGUCCUCUUUAUCACCUCCCAUGUUUUGUGACUCCCAUUAAUUUUUCUUCUCUUCUCAUUCUCACAUUCUCAUUUGUCUUUUUACUUUCAUCUCACUUUUAGACUAAGUUUGUCAUAUCUCCAACUUAAAGGUGUAAAUGAUACAUUAGUACUCGCAAACUACUCGAAUUCGAUUCGAUUAAAACUCGAAUUCGAUUCGAUAAUUAUCGAACCAAGCUCGAGCUCGAGUAACUUGACUUAUCGAAUGAGUCGAAUUUAAGCAUGUUAAUACCCGACUCGAAUAACUCGCGAGCUUAAUCGAUUUUUUUAUUAUAUAUUUUUUUAUUAUUUUAUUUAUAAAAUUAUUAUUUUACCCUUAACCUAAAAAACCCUAAAAUUUUAUUUUCUUCUUUCCUUCUUUUCAUUCCCCAUUUCUCCCCGUCUCUUUCAUUUCACGCAGCGCCCUUUCGUUCCACUCUUUUUCAAUAUUUCAAAGCUAAUUUCCAGAGUCAACUCAAAUCUAAGAUAAAUCAAAACUGAAAAAUCCAAGAUAGAUCAAAGUUGGAGCAAGUUGUUGCCUUUCUACAUAACUACAAAAGGUUUUUUCAUUAUAAGUGAACUUUACAGAUGCAGCCAUGGUUCUUUCUUGUGUCUGAUUAUGUAGUCAUCCAUGUAAUUUUGUACAAAAAAAUGAUGAUGAGAAAGUCUUUGAGCAUGAUCCACUUGCUCUGUUUGUCUGCGUUGCAGGAAUAGGUGCCUAAAGCAGGGCAUAAGUCAAUCCAAUCUUCUUUACGCCCGGGAUAGUUCUUGUGUUGCCUUCCCUUAGUAGGAGGUGAGAUUGGUCUUCCUAUGGUCUUAGUCGGGUGUGCUUUUCUUCUUUAUUCCUGUAACUUCCCUACUGCCAGCCACACCCCCGGUGUAGUAGUUCCUAACUAUAUAACCCACUAAAGGAAGAGUUGUCUCUUUGCCAUGCCAAUCCGCCACGCUAAGCGGCAGUAGUGCUCAAACCAAAGAGGAGUCAAACUGCCCCGAUCUGGGGAAUUGUGCUGUGCGGCGCAAGGGGUCUUUAGUUCGCCCGAAACUCCGGACCAGUUCCGCGAAAGGGGUGUCUUGCAUUUCUUGUACUAUAUAUAAACGACUUCCUUUUUGUCUGUCAAAAUUGAAACCUUUGCCUUUGAGGAAUUGGUGCUAAUAGUGCACGCGUGCGAGUAGUAGUUUUGGUAUUUGUUAUUGGCGGCAGGUCUUAGGACUAGUUGUUCCAUGUCCGAAGGAAAAACAAGUAAGACAGGGGCAGUAGUUCUCUAAUAGUCAUCCAACCCCUCGUUGAUGUCAUUUUACUUUUGUUGAUUUCAUAUGCCCUUCUACCAUCGUUUCAGCGACUCACAGAGCUUCCCUCAGCUCAGUCUUUUUGGUUCUUAAGAAUGGUCACCACCUCUCCCAAGAACAGAAUGAUUAUCCCUGUCCGAUGGGUUUAUAUCCAUCCCUGAAUGUUUUUGGGUAUUGUUCACUUUCCCACCAUUCUUGUAACCAUCACCUGUAAUCCGCACAAGCUCACCAUACAAAAAAGUCAACUACGAACCAAAACAAAAUAAAAAAACACUGAAAACUUAUUGGCAUUCGGCUUGACUUAGCAUUAAACUUCCUAUAAGAAUGUCUAGGGGAUGUAAUGUUCAAUUGUGAAUCACAAUCGAACCUGUGAAUUGGGUCUUAAAAGAUCAACCCAUAUGUUAAUUUAGUAUUUCUUUAAGUUUGUAAGCUUGACCUGUCCAAUAGAAAUAUAAAUGUAGUUUGGCCAUGCAUUAGAUUGUAAACUUGUCCAUAGAAAAAUGAAUCAAUUUUGGGAAAUGUCCACUGCAUAUUUUCCUUGAAAAAAUUCAUUUUUUUGUAUUCCAAAUAACUUGUUACAUAUGCCGAUCCUAAUAGACAAACAUUAGUAGCUAGUCUAGAUUGAACUUUUUACAUUAUAGUUUACGAACCAUAGGUUAACUAAUAAUAGAUACUCAUGUUAAGGCAAUUGAUAAGACACUGUCUAUAUUUUUUGCUUUAAUUAUA
rnacentral:lncRNA from 1 species